GACGAACGCUGGCGGCGUGCUUAACACAUGCAAGUCGAACGAAGUGGCGAACGGGUGAGUAAUGCGUAAUCAACCUGCCCUUCAGUGGGGGACAACAGUUGGAAACGACUGCUAAUACCGCAUACUGAUGGUCGGGAUUGCGUCGGAUUAGCUAGUUGGAGGGGUAACGGCCCACCAAGGCGUUGGACAGUCGCCUGGCUGGGAGGAGGAACGGCCACAUUGGUACUGGGACACGGCCCCGACUCCUACGGGAGGCAGCAGUUGGGAAACUUCCGCAAUGGAGGAAAGUCUGACGGAGCAACGCCGUGGGAUUGAUGACGGCCUUCGGGUUGUAAAGCUAUUUUAAUCGGGACGCGGUAAGGGAAGAGAAAGCAACGGCUAACUACGUGCCAGCAGACGCGGUAAUAG
rnacentral:rRNA from 1 species